AGUAUUUCAAGCUUUCUCUUUCUUUUGAGUUCACAAAACACAAACAUUUUAAUUUAAUUCAUUUUAAGUAACCUGAACUGUUUUAUUGUUUUGAGUUUAACAAACUUGUCUCUAAGGGGGCUUUCACACUUGGUUCGAUUGCCUGUUCCGAACCCGAGUUCGAUUGCUCCCCCCUGCCCCCGAUGGACUGUGUUCGCAUUAUAUAUUUGUAUCCGAACCGCGGUACGCUUGCGUCAUCAAGCUGCAGCUGGUGCGUAAUCGUGUUGCUUGAUAACCGCGAAAUGAAAAGGCGUCAAAAUUCAAUGAAUAGACUUGCUCGGUUCACAUUUGUUCUUCUUUUUUUUAACCUUUGGUUUUGUUUUCAACAUUAAGAUACAGAAACACAGUUGCGUCUGUCAAAAAUACUGAAAUCGUUCAAAAAACAGCGGGCUGUCCGCCGAAGGCAAGAAGAAAUCAUCUCUCUGCUUGCAGUGCGUGUGCGUCAAUCCCGCUUUUCGUCAAGACAUACUGACUUCGAGCUCCAGGUGAGAAGGUCUGAGAUCUCACUAUUGUGCUGCUACGCAUAAACGGCGAGCUGUGACCCCAGCGGCCCACCCUUUCUUUCGGCCACAUCCUCAUUGACUCUGGAAAUACACCUUCUGUGUUGGUCGCUGCGUCCACCUCAAAAACACACAAACCAUAAAUUGGACUGCAGAUAGCGCCUCCCAGAGGCCAAGCAGAUGCCUUCAGCCCACAAACCCUCAGGACAGGGAGUGACAAACGCUGUACUGUUACUGCAGCCACUGUCCACUGACUCAGCCUGCCAACUCCUAUAUCACAC